rnacentral:rRNA from 1 species
GACGAACGCUGGCGGCGUGCUUAACACAUGCAAGUCGAACGGUGAAGCGCCUUCCUUUUUGGCGGGUGGGGAGGGGUGGCGAACGGGUGAGUAACACGUGAGUAACCUGCCCCCUUCUGCUGGAUAACCGCAUGAAAGUGUCGCUAAUACGGGAUACUCUGUGUCUGUCGCAUGAUGGGUCUGUGAAAGCUUUCGCUUCGGUGUGGGAUGGGCUCGGGGUGGAUUAGCUUGUUGGUGGGGUGACGGCCUGCCAAGGCGGCGAUGAGUGGCUGGUCUGAGGGGAGGGUCAGCGACACCACAGGUGAGGCGCGGUGGAGACGACUACGACAGGCAGCAGUAGUGAGUAUUGUAGCACGGUGGGCGGAAGGCUGAUGCAGCGACGCGGCGGGGGAGAAGGAGUUCGUCUGGUUGAGAACCUCUGUCGGGAGUGAAGCAGGCCUGCCUAGUAUGUGGGUGGGUUGACGGUAGCUGGAUAAGAAGCGCCGGCUAACUACGUG